GAUGAACGCUGGCUACAGGCUUAACACAUGCAAGUCGAGGGGAAACGACGGGGAAGCUUGCUUCCCCGGGCGUCGACCGGCGCACGGGUGAGUAACGCGUAUCCAACCUGCCUCUGACUGAGGGAUAACCCGUCGAAAGUCGGCCUAAUACCUCAUGGUAUCGUCUGCGGGCAUCCAACGACGAUUAAAGAUUUCAUCGGUCAGGGAUGGGGAUGCGUCUGAUUAGCUUGUUGGCGGGGUAACGGCCCACCAAGGCUACGAUCAGUAGGGGUUCUGAGAGGAAGGUCCCCCGCAUUGGAACUGAGACACGGUCCAAACGCCUACGGGAGGAAGCAGUGAGGAAGAUUGGGCAAUGGGCGAGAGCCUGAACCAGCCAAGUAGCGUGCAGGAAGACGGCCCUAUGGGUUGUAAACUGCUUUUAUGCGGGGAUAAAGUGAGGGACGUGUCCCUCAUUGCAGGUACCGCAUGAAUAAGGACCGGCUAAUUCCGUG
rnacentral:rRNA from 1 species